rnacentral:rRNA from 1 species
GAAUUCAACUCCUACGGGAGGCAGCAGUGAGGAAUAUUGGUCAAUGGGCGCUAGCCUGAACCAGCCAAGUAGCGUGAAGGAUGAAGGCUCUAUGGGUCGUAAACUUCUUUUAUAUAAGAAUAAAGUGCAGUAUGUAUACUGUUUUGUAUGUAUUAUAUGAAUAAGGAUCGGCUAACUCCGUGCCAGCAGCCGCGGUAAUACGGAGGAUCCGAGCGUUAUCCGGAUUUAUUGGGUUUAAAGGGAGCGUAGGUGGACUGGUAAGUCAGUUGUGAAAGUUUGCGGCUCAACCGUAAAAUUGCAGUUGAUACUGUCAGUCUUGAGUACAGUAGAGGUGGGCGGAAUUCGUGGUGUAGCGGUGAAAUGCUUAGAUAUCACGAAGAACUCCGAUUGCGAAGGCAGCUCACUGGACUGCAACUGACACUGAUGCUCGAAAGUGUGGGUAUCAAACAGGAUUAGAAACCCUAGUAGUCCAGGCGUU